GGUGAAGGUACAGGCCCUCUUUGUCUCCAUAGUACAUAUCCCACAGUUUAGGGGAUAACCCCAGUCAAGAUGGCUAAGUAUACAAACUUGUAACUACAAGGGUCACAAGGCGGGGUUUACCAAGUGUACACCCUCAGGUAGUGGUUGCGUGUUUCCCUCGUCACCCAAAAAAAAUACAAUUCAGAUGAAGGUGAAGGUCAAGCACAGGUAUAUAGAAUUUGGAGGAAUUUGGAGUAUCAGUUCCUCAAAGAUCUGCAGAAAAUACAGCUUCUUUAGUUGCAAGGUUCAUCCAAAAUAAUGGCUCAUUCUUCAACUAUCACAUUUUUUCAUGCAUGUAUGCAUGCUUAGACAUUUUUUAAUUUCUUGGUCCUACUUAUAUGGCCUGGUCUCUAGUUUAAAGUUCCAUGGAUGAACUAACUAUGAGUAUGAUGCUCCUCUAGAUGAAUAUGGCGGAUUGUAUUUACAAUUACAAUCAAGAUUUGUUUAUAUAUAAACAAAUGAGCUUAUUACC